UGAGUUUGAUUCCUGGCUCAGGAUGAACGCUGGCGGCGUGCUUAACACAUGCAAGUCGAACGGUGAAGCCCAGCUUGCUGGGUGGAUCAGUGGCGAACGGGUGAGUACACGUGAGCAACCUGCCCCUGACUCUGGGAUAUAGCGCUGGAAACGGCGUCUAAUACUGGAUAUGUGACGUGACCGCAUGGUCUGCGUCUGGAAAGAAUUUCGGUUGGGGAUGGGCUCGCGGCCUAUCAGCUUGUUGGUGAGGUAAUGGCUCACCAAGGCGUCGACGGGUAGCCGGCCUGAGAGGGUGACCGGCCACACUGGGACUGAGACACGGCCCAGACUCCUACGGGAGGCAGCAGUGGGGAAUAUUGCACAAUGGGCGCAAGCCUGAUGCAGCAACGCCGCGUGAGGGACGACGGCCUUCGGGUUGUAAACCUCUUUUAGCAGGGAAGAAGCGAAAGUGACGGUACCUGCAGAAAAAGCGCCGGCUAACUACGUGCCAGCAGCCGCGGUAAUACGUAGGGCGCAAGCGUUAUCCGGAAUUAUUGGGCGUAAAGAGCUCGUAGGCGGUUUGUCGCGUCUGCUGUGAAAUCCGGAGGCUCAACCUCCGGCCUGCAGUGGGUACGGGCAGACUAGAGUGCGGUAGGGGAGAUUGGAAUUCCUGGUGUAGCGGUGGAAUGCGCAGAUAUCAGGAGGAACACCGAUGGCGAAGCAGAUCUCUGGGCCGUAACUGACGCUGAGGAGCGAAAGGUGGGGGAGCAAACAGGCUUAGAUACCCUGGUAGUCCACCCCGUAAACGUUGGGAACUAGUUGUGGGGGUCCAUUCCACGGAUUCCGUGACGCAGCUAACGCAUAGGUCCCCGCCUGGGGGAGUACGCGGCAGCUAAACUCAAGGAUGACGGGACCCGCACAGCGGCGGAGCAUGCGAUUAUCCGAUGCACCGCGAAGACCUGACCAAGGCUGACUAUACGAGACCGCCAGAUUGUACACUCUUUG
rnacentral:rRNA from 1 species